CCUACGGGGGGCAGCAGUGGGGAAUAUUGGACAAUGGGGGGAACCCUGAUCCAGCCAUGCCGCGUGUGUGAAGAAGGCCCUCGGGUUGUAAAGCACUUUCAGUGAGGAAGAACGCCUGGUGGUUAAUACCCAUCAGGAAAGACAUCACUCACAGAAGAAGCACCGGCUAACUCCGUGCCAGCAGCCGCGGUAAUACGGAGGGUGCGAGCGUUAAUCGGAAUUACUGGGCGUAAAGCGCGCGUAGGUGGCUUGAUAAGCCGGUUGUGAAAGCCCCGGGCUCAACCUGGGAACGGCAUCCGGAACUGUCAAGCUAGAGUGCAGGAGAGGAAGGUAGAAUUCCCGGUGUAGCGGUGAAAUGCGUAGAGAUCGGGAGGAAUACCAGUGGCGAAGGCGGCCUUCUGGACUGACACUGACACUGAGGUGCGAAAGCGUGGGUAGCAAACAGGAUUAGAUACCCUAGUAGU
rnacentral:rRNA from 1 species